ensembl:lncRNA
AACAUUGCACAGAUGCGUGAAGACCUGAGUCUAUGCCUUUUGAAUGAAUCAGAUUUUUCUUCAUUAUUUUAAAAAGGGAUGAUGUAUUACGCAUGCGAUAAAGAAUAUAAUGUCACCUUGAUCACCUUCCACAGAACCUCUGGAUAACCUGUGCCUGGCUUGUGGAGAAGAAUAUCCCCACACACCAGACCAGAUAGACACUUGGAUUGCAUGUGACUCUUGCAAUGGCUGGUACCACUGGGACUGCAUAAGCAGGCCAAGUUUGGAGGCACAUUUUAUUUGUUUAUAUGUCAAGGCCCUAUUUAAAGUGUUUUACCCCCCACCCCCACCAAUAUGUCUUGUCCACAUACACUUAUGUAAAAUAAAAACUUAACACCAAAUCAUUUGAUGUCUUUAAUGUAUUCAACAUUAUACUUAAUUUCUUUACAGUAGUAACUGUGCAAAUUAUUGUGACCCUGGAGCAAAAAAUCUUAAAUCGCUGGGGUAUAUUUUUAGCAAGAGCCACAAAAAAGUGUAUGGGUCAAAACAAUUUUUUCAUUUAUGCCAAAUCAUUAGGAAAUUAAGUAAAGAUCAUGUUCCAUAAGAUAUUUAGCUGUUUAUGACAACAUGCAUUGUUAAAAGCAGUAUAUAAAGAAAACUGAAUUUAUUGUAUAGACACUUAUCGACCCACGAAAGAACCUGCCAUUACAAAAUCUCUCCUUCAUCAAAGGUAAAAAGGUUUUUAAUGGAUUGCAUCACCUCUAAAUGCAGUCAUUAAACCACGUGUCAAGAUAUGAAUGCAGUUUGCAAAAAAAUUCCAUCACAUUGAACAAUACAAGCCUCCACCGUUGAGCCUAGAGGGAGAUGUUUCCAUGUAGCUUUAGGCUCUGGACUUUCCCUCUAAAUAGUUUUGGAAUCAUUGCUUUGUAAUGUGGCAGUAAAAGUACCACUGUUUCUUGUCAACAUUUUUCCAUUUCAUCACCCCAUUAGGCUCCAACUCUCUGUGUCAUGUGACAGAGAAGCAGUCCAAUAGGCUCUAUGCACGCGUACUUCAGCGCUUGACACAAGGCUGCUCUUCUGUUUCCAGCUGGAGAGGUUUGAAGCAGAGCAAAACGUGAUUAUGGCAGAGUCGUCGAAUUUUACUCGGUGUUUGCUGGAGUUGCCCAAAUUUACAAUUAAUGAUGUGUGAAGAAUUGUAAGGAUGUGCAGUACAACGCCACAGAGCAAACUUGAGAAAGGUUUCAAGUUUUAUGUGUCGUCUUAUCUCUGCAAUUAUGAAGGUAAAUUCAGCUAGCCUGAACCGCCUGAACUGAACUGCUAAUACUAGUUAUUAUUUUUUACGAUCCGUCCAGCAGCAGGUUAAUCACGUUAGUAUAAAUGUUUGACAUUUAAUG